rnacentral:rRNA from 1 species
AGUGAACGCUGGCGGUAGGCCUAACACAUGCAAGUCGAACGGCAGCACAGUAAGAGCUUGCUCUUACGGGUGGCGAGUGGCGGACGGGUGAGGAAUACAUCGGAAUCUACUUUUUCGUGGGGGAUAACGUAGGGAAACUUACGCUAAUACCGCAUACGACCUACGGGUGAAAGCAGGGGAUCUUCGGACCUUGCGCGUUUGAAUGAGCCGAUGUCGGAUUAGCUAGUUGGCGGGGUAAAGGCCCACCAAGGCGACGAUCCGUAGCUGGUCUGAGAGGAUGAUCAGCCACACUGGAACUGAGACACGGUCCAGACUCCUACGGGAGGCAGCAGUGGGGAAUAUUGGACAAUGGGCGAAAGCCUGAUCCAGCCAUACCGCGUGGGUGAAGAAGGCCUUCGGGUUGUAAAGCCCUUUUGUUGGGAAAGAAAAGCAGCAGGUUAAUACCCCGCUGUUCUGACGGUACCCAAAGAAUAAGCACCGGCUAACUUCGUG